rnacentral:misc_RNA from 1 species
UCUCCGUAGGUGAACCUGUGGAGGGAUCAUUACUGAGUGAGGGUUUAACCGCCCGACCUCCAACCCCGUAACUACCUUACCAUCCGUUGCCUCGGCGGGCCGUCGACCCCCUCGCGGGCGUCGCCGUCGGCCCCCGCGCCCUCGAGCGCCCGCCGCAGGACCAACCGCAAACCCCUCGCGAACCCAGCGGACUGAAACGAAAUUAAAUACUUCAAAACUUUCAACGACGGAUCUCUUGGUUCUGGCAUCGAUGAAGAACGCAGC